AGCUUUGCACAGUGGCAGUAUCAUAGCCAAUGAGGUUUAUCCGAGGCACGAUUAUUGCUAAUUGAAAGAAAUACAAAGGACCCC
rnacentral:snRNA from 1 species